rnacentral:rRNA from 1 species
GACGAACGUUGGCGGCGUGCCUAAUACAUGCAAGUCAACUGAAAUACCGGUAGCAAUACUGGUAUGGAGGUGGCGCACGGGUGAGUAACACGUAGGUAAUCUGCCUUCAGGUCUGACAUAACCCAUCGAAAGGUGAGCUAAUAUCAGAUGAUGCAGCGGCUUGACAUCAAGACAGUUGUUAAAGCUUCGGCGCCUGAAGAUGAGCCUGCGUCUGAUUAGCUAGUUGGCGGGGUAACGGCCCACCAAGGCUGCGAUCAGUAGCUGGUCUGAGAGGAUGAUCAGUCACACUGGAACUGAGACACGGUCCAGACUCCUACGGGAGCAGCAGUAAGAAUA